AACCUUAUAAGUUGGGCGCGGGGGGAUGUCUUUUAUUAGGUAGAUGGGCGUGCUGGGUGCUGGGGGUUAGUGCAGAGGUGGAGGUCGCGCGGCGGCGGGGGACGGUGCGGCAGCGCGCGGCGGCCUGAGGCGGAGCGGUAGCGCGGCGGUCUGAGGAGGAGAGACAGCGCGGCGGCCUUAGGUGAGGCGGCAGCACGUUCCCACAGCGCGGCGGCCUUAGGUGAGGCGGCAGCACGUUCCCGCCGAGGCCUCGUGCUCGCUCGUAUCUCCCCCGGCCCUGGUCUUCGUUCUACGCUUUCGACCUCGCAGCGCGCCGUGGAACGCCGCCAGCACUGGGAGUUUCAGCGGAGCGAGGAGGUUCCGGACGGACGCACUCGGGUGCGACCUCCUACUGCGACUGGUACCGCGCCUCAGGCCGGCUGCCCUAGGCUGUACCAUCAGAAGAGGUUCCUCGCCACCAGCUACGGCUGCUCGUCUCCGGGAGCUAGUGGUCGGGAGGAGGGCGAUGAUAGGAGGUGUAGGGGCUACUUAUCCUAGGUCUCUUCGUGUUACGCGAGAAGGAGGGAAUACAGAUACGCCUAAACUGGAAACAACCCCAUGAAAAAUACUUAUCUACUACACUAACGAACAAUAAAGUAAGUUAAUUAUCAUUUUAACUACUCCGUUAACCUUCUUGGCUCGUCGUUAAAAUGAUGCCUAGACGCUGUAACUAAACCAGUAGAGACAGUGAUCGUUCAACGUAUUCUUACUCACCGCAACAUCUCCGCACUUACUUUUUGAAUCAUACCCUCUGUUAAUAUCAAUACUCAGGGAGCUAAUAUCUCACCUAGGUCCACUUUAAAGGACACGUAGUUUUCAGUCAAACUAGAUUAAACCUCGUAGUGAAGCUCGACACACACAGGGACUUAGUGCUUCCACAGCCCAGCACCGAAGCUAACGAAGAAGAAAGCCGACACCAAAUAACAAAACGGUCGAAGGAGCAAACUGAGAAUAAUCCCGAAACAAACGACCAAAGAAACGUCCAUAACGAGAAGACUCCAAGUCCCUCUACCAUCUCCGACUAGGCGCCACGAGACGACAUAACCAUAUUUCUGGUGCGACCAGGAACAAGAACCAAACCGUACGUCACGAGCCUACUACCCUUGAACAGUUCAGAACCAGACUUCCCGUACAAUAGAGGACUCUUACCUGUUGAAUGAUUAUACGUAAGAGACAUUUGUAUAAGAUAUCAAGGAGACCACUGCAAAAAAAAGACUGGUGAAACCAAAACUGUUUUGUACAAAGUGUGAAACUUGGUAUUCUAUCAUAAACCAUAAAGACUUUGACGGUUGACUUAGUCUCAGUAAAACGUGAAGCUAAAUCCGAAAGUACAACUCGUGUCAUCAUUUCGACUUUGAAACAUCACACAUACAAAAGGACUACUCGGAAUACUGGAGUCCAAAACUCGUCAGUUAAUCCCGUGUACUCAAUUGAACCACAUACAAGAAAGAACCUCACAUCAACCUAUGUUCUGUAUACAAAGAAGAACCUAGAUCCCCUGAAAACUCUUAUGUUAAGACGUAUCUAGAUUAAGUUCAUGUACUAA
rnacentral:rRNA from 1 species